rnacentral:rRNA from 1 species
AUUGAACGCUGGCGGCAGGCCUAACACAUGCAAGUCGAACGGUAACAGAAAGCAGCUUGCCGCUUUGCUGACGAGUGGCGGACGGGUGAGUAAUGUCUGGGAAACUGCCUGAUGGAGGGGGAUAACUACUGGAAACGGUAGCUAAUACCGCAUAACGUCGCAAGACCAAAGAGGGGGACCUUCGGGCCUCUUGCCAUCGGAUGUGCCCAGAUGGGAUUAGCUAGUAGGUGGGGUAAAGGCUCACCUAGGCGACGAUCCCUAGCUGGUCUGAGAGGAUGACCAGCCACACUGGAACUGAGACACGGUCCAGACUCCUACGGGAGGCAGCAGUGGGGAAUAUUGCACAAUGGGCGCAAGCCUGAUGCAGCCAUGCCGCGUGUAUGAAGAAGGCCUUCGGGUUGUAAAGUACUUUCAGCGGGGAGGAAGGGAGUAAAGUUAAUACCUUUGCUCAUUGACGUUACCCGCAGAAGAAGCACCGGCUAACUCCGUG